rnacentral:tRNA from 2 species
AGGGGUAUAGCUCAGCAGGUAGAGCAUCGGUCUCCAAAACCGAGUGCCGAGGGUUCGAUUCCUUCUGCCCCUGCCA